rnacentral:rRNA from 1 species
UAACGCGUAGGUAACCUGCCUUGUAGCGGGGGAUAACUAUUGGAAACGAUAGCUAAUACCGCAUAACAAUGGGUGACUCAUGUCAUUUAUUUGAAAGGGGCAAAUGCUCCACUACAAGAUGGACCUGCGUUGUAUUGGCUAGUAGGUGAGGUAACGGCUCACCUAGGCGACGAUACAUAGCCGACCUGAGAGGGUGAUCGGCCACACUGGGACUGAGACACGGCCCAG